rnacentral:rRNA from 1 species
GAUGAACGCUGGCGGCGUGCCUAAUACAUGCAAGUCGAGCGAACAGACGAGGAGCUUGCUCCUCUGACGUUAGCGGCGGACGGGUGAAUAACACGUGGAUAACCUACCUAUAAGACUGGGAUAACUUCGGGAAACCGGAGCUAAUACCGGAUAAUAUAUUGAACCGCAUGGUUCAAUAGUGAAAGACGGUUUUGCUGUCACUUAUAGAUGGAUCCGCGCCGCAUUAGCUAGUUGGUAAGGUAACGGCUUACCAAGGCGACGCUGCGUAGCCGACCUGAGAGGGGGAGCGGCCACACUGGAACUGAGACACGGUCCAGACUCCUACGGGAGGCAGCAGUAGGGAAUCUUCGGCAAUGGGCGAAAGCCGGACGGAGCAACGCCGCGUGAGGGAUGAAGGUCUUCGGAUCGUAAAACUCGGUUAUUAGGGAAGAACAAAUGUGUAAGUAACUAUGCACGUCUUGACGGUACCUAAUCAGAAAGCCACGGCUAACUACGUG